rnacentral:rRNA from 1 species
AUGAGGCCAAGAAGAUCGUGUACCCUCUUGAUCUGUCGCACAUUAGAUACCAUGAAUGCAUCAACGAUUGCGUCAUUUAUCCGAAGGAGCAAGCGGAAAAAACCAGCUGUUCAGUGUGCAAUGCUUCUCAAUACAAGAAGGCCGAAAAGAAAUCUCCCCAGCAAGUUGUAUGAGAGGAAAAAGCCCGGCGAUGGAGAAGAUCUGGCGCAGGAGAAGGGCAAAAAAGUGAUCAAGAAGGAAGAUAAUUAUUGUCCCCUUUCUUACUUUAGCUUUUGUCCGAAGGAGAUCGAUCAAUUCUUCAAGUGCCUUACCAAAACCAAAGUUAGUUCCGGUUACUGUGGGAAGAUAAGCAGGUUUCUAGACACAAAGAAGAAAAGGUUAUGUGAUGAAGUCUCGUGA